CAGAGGGUGCGAGCGUUGUUCGGAAUCACUGGGCGUAAAGCGCGCGCAGGCGGGCGUGUAAGUCAGAAGUGAAAUUCCGGGGCUCAACCCCGGAGCUGCUUCUGAUACUGCAGGUCUGGAGACCGGUAGAGGCUGGUGGAAUUCCCGGUGUAGCGGUGGAAUGCGUAGAGAUCGGGAAGAACACCCGUGGCGAAGGCGGCCAGCUGGGCCGGUUCUGACGCUGAGGCGCGAAAGCGUGGGGAGCAAACAGGAUUAGAUACCCUGGUAGUCCACGCUGUAAACGAUGGGCACUAGGUGCCGGGGGGAGCGACCCCUUCGGUGCCGCAGCUAACGCGUUAAGUGCCCCGCCUGGGGAGUACGGCCGCAAGGCUG
rnacentral:rRNA from 1 species